rnacentral:snoRNA from 10 species
UCUGGAGGAUCAAGAAGGCGGAGUCUGAUGAAGCAAGACUCGGCUGAUACAAUCCUCCUAGAGAAAGGGGUCAGAGAGAGCAGCCCUGCCUGGAGCACUGCACAGGGCUGACUGCACCACCCGACAUUC